AAAAAUACAGCCAUAUCUUUCUUUCGUUUCUUCAUCACAAAACAUUCUGUUCACUCUCUCCGCUCUCUUUCUCUCUCUACCAAUUCUCUCAUAAUAUUACAGAAAAUCAAGAAAAAAUUAUCUCUUAAUUUCUUCAUUAUGUGUGCACCAAAAUCCCUCUUAUCUUACCUCUUUUGUUUUCCCCAAAAGUAUUCGCCUAUUUCACCCAAUUUGACGAUUUGAUUACAGGAAAAGAAUUAGGGAUUUGAAAAGAAAUAGGGAUUUGAUUACAAGAAAAUUGCUAACAACGUGGUGCUGAGGGAGAAUGGGGAUCGAAGCAAUCAGGGCAUACAGACUUUUGCCGGCGACACCAUUAUGCUCCGGGAGUCCGCCACCGAAGCCCAGAAGAAAUUCGAGGAGAACCGUCACAUGACCUCCCCUGCCAAUCUCAGCCGCCAUCUCGAGGAGGCGAAUGAGGCCACCCGCUUCAUCUCAACCAUGAUCAUUCAGGCUAAGCUCAACGAUCGCGGAGGUUACGGUGUUUGUCAAAAGUUCUAUUGGGCAAAACACUACUUAUCAUGGCUUAUUAUCUUAAAAAAUGAACAAAAAUUUGCACGCCGAAAUUUGGUGUGAAAUUCAGCCUGCUCGCCGGAAAGGGAAAUAAAAAUUGCUACCGCAUCUGUUUUCGGAGCCAAAAUCGAAGGGUUUGGAGUGUGAAUUUGGGAAUCAUUCCUUCUCGAAACUCGUAGAGGACCUCGAAAACUGUGAGUCAGUGUUUAAUUGUUUCCAAUUCGAGCACGUGUUAUAGCCUUUUAGGGGUCGGAAUAAGACGACAGCGAAUCUGUCAAAAAACAGGGCAGUUUUGCCUAAUCAUCAUACGGAGCUAUUUUUGUUAUGUUGGAGUUAUAAUUUAGGCUAUGUGUCUUCUGAUGUUUUGUAUAUUGACUUGUGAGGUUUGAUUUGGUAUAUUAUUUGGUCGAUUUGGAUAACUCUACAAAUUGUUAUGAUUUUUCAAAUAAACUGUGACAGUUACAAGUUUGUCCAAAAAAUUUCUGGCAGUUUUCUGUAUUCAACUUUUCGUGCUGUUAUUGAUGUGUUAUCUUAGUAAUUGGGAGUUGGUAUCUUCAUCACAAUUGUAGAUAAAGUUGUGAACUUUUAUUUGGUAUAUUGUUUUCCCAAUUUGGAUAAGUGUACGGCCUGCUACGAUUUUUGGAAGAAAAUGUGACAACAAAUAACGUUGGUUUCUAGUUUAAUGUCCAUAGUUAGCAUCUAUCUGUGUCAUUAGUUAUUUGAGUCAUUAGUUAUUUGAAAUUUGUUUUAUGCAUAUUAAGCAAGAAGUUUAAAGUAAUGUGAUCGAAGGUGAAGCUUAAGAAACUAAUGGAUUCUUAUUUCAGGUGUGUCAUUCGUGGUUGUGUACCUAAGAAAAUUUUGGUCUAUGAUGUUGCUUUUGGUGCUAACUCGAGCUAUGUUGGCGAAAUUCUGAGAAAUAGUAAACCUUCUGCCGCACCUGUUUUCGGAGCCGAAAUCGAAGGGUUUGGAGUGAGAUUUUCGAAUCAGUCUCUUCACAAAAGUCGUCGAGGACCGUGAUAAUUAUAUGUGUUGAGUAUAUUUAUGCUCUCAUUAAAGACUUGAGUAUGACUCCAAAGUAAGGUGUUUUUAUAGCACUUGCAUUGGACUUCAGGUUGGGUUGGACUGUUUGAUGAAGUGAAAGAACGUUAUCGUGGAAGUCAUAUUUGUUGUCGCUUAACAAUUUAUGAAGUGGAAUUUAUUAUGAAAUAAUUAUAGUAAUCUUUCUUAUUAUUUGAAAUGAUUGAUUUAUUAUUGUAUGUAGUAUGAUAGAUUGAAAUGUAAUAUUCAUAUUUGAUUGAUAAUGUGUAAAUUUGCAAGCUUUAGUUUUAUUU